rnacentral:lncRNA from 1 species
CCCCUUCCCCAACACCACUCCCCUCCUCCCGACAGUCAUCCCAGUCUUCGAUCUCGCGAGAUUUCUCGCCUGACAGGCCCGGCCCUGCGCGAGACAAGACUGCGUACGCGUGCGCGCCCUCACGGGAGCGCGCGAGUGCUUGCACUGGGCGGAGUCGUCCGUUUGGCCCGGAGUCCCAGCCCCUGUCCAGCCCGGCCUCAGUCAGCUGGCGGAGCUCUUAUGCCACGCGGACGUCAGGAUGAAGAUGAUGAUGUUCCCAUUACAAAGGAGGAAAGCUCAGAAAAAUUAAGUAACUUUGUGCAACAUUACUCAGCUGGUAUCUAUCGGUUAAGCAUCUGCAGUAAGCCAUGAAUAAGUUAGAGCAGCUGCAUCAGAGUCGAAAAGAAAUCCAGCCCUGAAGUUAUCAAGCAGAGGAUGUGAGGGGAGUAUAGCAGGAGUUAAAAACGUUGACUGUGAAGUCCUACCUCCAGCACUUGUAGGAAAGGCUAUAUUAAAUUCCCG